rnacentral:rRNA from 1 species
AUUGAACGCUGGCGGAAUGCUUUACACAUGCAAGUCGAGCGGCAGCACGGGGGCAACCCUGGUGGCGAGCGGCGAACGGGUGAGUAACAUAUCGGAACGUACCCCGUCGUGGGGGAUAACACAGCGAAAGCUGUGCUAAUACCGCAUACGACCUGAGGGUGAAAGCGGGGGAUCGCAAGACCUCGCGCGAUGGGAGCGGCCGAUAUCGGAUUAGCUUGUUGGUGAGGUAAAGGCUCACCAAGGCGACGAUCCGUAGCUGGUCUGAGAGGACGACCAGCCACACUGGAACUGAGACACGGUCCAGACUCCUACGGGAGGCAGCAGUGGGGAAUUUUGGACAAUGGGCGGAAGCCUGAUCCAGCCAUGCCGCGUGAGUGAAGAAGGCCU